CUCAAUAUAAUCCAUUCAGGAACUCCAACCAAUCAAACAUCACUUGAUAUUCCAUUCAGGAACUCCAACUAAUCAAGCCUCAUUUAUAAUCCAUUCAGGAACUCCAACCAAUCAAGG